UAGGGAAUAUUGCACAAUGGGCGAAAGCCUGAUGCAGCAACGCCGCGUGCACGAUGAAGGCCUUCGGGUCGUAAAGUGCUUUUCGGGGAGAUGAGGAGGGACAGUAUCCCCGGAAUAAGUCUCGGCUAACUACGUGCCAGCAGCCGCGGUAACACGUAGGAGGCAAGCGUUAUCCGAAUUUACUGGGCGUAAAGCGCGUGCAGGCGGUUCGGUAAGUUGGAUGUGAAAUCUCCCGGCACAACUGGGAGAGGUCGUUCAAUACUGUCAGAAUAGAGGAUGGGAGAGGGAGGUGGAAUUCGCGGUGUAGUCGUGAAAUGCGUAGAUAUCGGGAGGAACACCAGUGGCGAAAGCGGCCUCCUGGACCAUUCCUGACGCUCAGACGCGAAA
rnacentral:rRNA from 1 species